CAAGAACCUCCAAGAGGAGAAAUUUUUAAUGAAAAGAUGUUUGCAAAACAUAUAUGGGAAAGCCAUACUAAAUAACUGACACAUUGAACUUAUAAAUAGCCUUACAAAUGAGAGUUUUCAUCAGGAUCAUGGUACCCAAAACAUACAUCAAGAAAUUUCAAUGCAGGGCUCUUGUUCAUCUAGAUGCAUACAUCUAAGAAGCACAUGAUUGUCAUUUCUACAAGCAAUUUAGGAACAAGGAUCAUUUGGCAUGUGUUUCAAGAAUAUCAAUACAGCAACAGAUUGCAGUUGCUCAUCUUCCAAGUCCCUGUAGCAUUCGUUCACCAAGAAAUACAGCAAAGGUUUUUUGCUCAAAAUUGACGUCUUGGCCUAGCUUCUGCAACAGAGACCCGAAUUGCUCUGCCAUCCAAUUCAACGCCAUUCAAGGACUCAAUGGCAUUUUCAACCUCUUCAG
rnacentral:misc_RNA from 1 species